GUGCUUUGGCAGCACAUAUACUAAACUGGGAUAAUACAGAGAAGAUUCCCAUAGCCCCAGUGCAAGAAUGAGAUGUAAAUUUAUAAAACAUUCCAUAUUUGU